rnacentral:piRNA from 1 species
UGGACGUGGUACUCACUCCUCACCAUGGAGAU